rnacentral:rRNA from 1 species
AACAUCGCCUCCUGCAAAAAUCAAUGUAUAGGAGGUCCUACCUGCCCAGUGACUAUUAGUUAAACGGCCGCGGUAUUUUGACCGUGCUAAGGUAGCGCAAUCACUUGUCCUUUAAAUGAAGACCGGUAUGAAUGGUGUAACGAGGGCUUAACUGUCUCCCUUCUCUGGUCAAUGAAAUUGAUCUGCCCGUGCAGAAGCAGGCAUAAAAAUACAAGACGAGAAGACCCUUUGGAGCUUAAGACAAAAAGCCAACUGUGUUAAAGCCCCUGACAAAAAUAAGCUAAACAAAGCAGUCAAUCUGGCCAACGUCUUCGGUUGGGGCGACCGCGGGGGAAAACAAAGCCCCCAUGUGGACUGGGAAUAUCCCUAAAACCAAGAGAUACACCUCUAAGUCACAGAACAUCUGACCUAUAGAUCCGGCCCGCAAGCCGAUCAACGAACCAAGUUACCCUAGGGAUAACAGCGCAAUCCUCUUCAAGAGUCCAUAUCGACAAGAGGGUUUACGACCUCGAUGUUGGAUCAGGACAUCCUAAUGGUGCAGCCGCUAUUAAGGGUUCGUUUGUUCAACGAUUAAAGUCCUACGUGA